rnacentral:rRNA from 2 species
GUGACCUCAAAUCAGGUAGGACUACCCGCUGAACUUAAGCAUAUCAAUAAGCGGAGGAAAAGAAACUAACAAGGAUUCCCCUAGUAACUGCGAGUGAAGCGGGAAAAGCUCAAAUUUAAAAUCUGGCAGUCUCCGGCUGUCCGAGUUGUAAUCUAGAGAAGUGUUAUCCGCGUUGGACCGUGUACAAGUCUCCUGGAAUGGAGCAUCAUAGAGGGUGAGAAUCCCGUCUUUGACACGGACUGCCAGGGCUUUGUGAUGCGCUCUCAAAGAGUCGAGUUGUUUGGGAAUGCAGCUCAAAAUGGGUGGUAAAUUCCAUCUAAAGCUAAAUAUUGGCGAGAGACCGAUAGCGAACAAGUACCGUGAGGGAAAGAUGAAAAGAACUUUGGAAAGAGAGUUAAACAGUACGUGAAAUUGCUGAAAGGGAAACGCUUGAAGUCAGUCGCGUUGAUCAGGGAUCAACCUUGCUUUUGCUUGGUGCACUUUCUGGUUAAUGGGUCAGCAUCAAUUUUGACCAUUGGAAAAAGGUCAGGGGAAUGUGGCAUCUUCAGAUGUGUUUAUAGCCCUUGGUUGCAUACAAUGGU